GAUGAACGCUAGCGGCAGGCUUAACACAUGCAAGUCGAGGGGCAGCGCGGGAUAGCAAUAUCCUGGCGGCGACCGGCGGAAGGGUGCGUAACGCGUGAGCGACAUGCCCGUUGCCCGGGGACAACCGGUGGAAACGCCGACUAAUCCCCGAUGGGAUAUUGUGCCGCAUGGCACGAUAUUGAAAGUUACGGCGGCGACGGAUUGGCUCGCGUCCGAUUAGCUUGUUGGCGGGGUAACGGCCCACCAAGGCUGCGAUCGGUAGGGGUUCUGAGAGGAAGGCCCCCCACAAUGGGACUGAGACACGGCCCAUACUCCUACGGGAGGCAGCAGUGAGGAAUCUUGGUCAAUGGGCGGAAGCCUGAACCAGCCAUGCCGCGUGCGGGAAGGAGGCCCUAUGGGCUGUGAACCGCUUUUGCCUGGGGGCAAUAAGGGCGUCGCGCACGUCCGAUGAGAGUACCAGGCGAAUAAGCAUCGGCUAACUCCGUG
rnacentral:rRNA from 1 species